GACGAACGCUGGCGGCGUGCUUAACACAUGCACGUCGAACGAAGUGGCGAACGGGUGAGUAACGCGUAAUCAACCUGCCCUUCAGAGGGGGACCACAGUUGGAAACGACUGCUAAUACCGCAUACUGAAGGAGGGGAUUGCGUCGGAUUCGCUAGUUGGAGGGGUAACGGCCACCAAAGGCGAUGAUCAGUAGCCGGGCUGAGAGGAUGAACGGCCACAUUGGGAAUGGGACACGGCCCAGACUCCUACGGGAGGCAGCAGUGGGGAAUCUUCCGCAAUGGACGAAAGUCUGACGGAGCAACGCCGCGUGAGUGAUGACGGCCGUCGGGUUGGAAAGCUCUGUUAAUCGGGACGCGGUACCGGAAUAGAAAGCCACGGCUAACUACGUGCCAGCAGCCGCGGUAAUAC
rnacentral:rRNA from 1 species